GGACGGAGGAGCAGCGAGUCAAGAUGAGAGUUCAGCCGCGGCGGCAGCAGCAGCAGUCUGUCAAGUUCAAGAGCAGCUCAGAUGCCAUGAAUUAAGUGAAGCACAAAAAGGGGAAAGGAGACCCUUUUGAAGAACAAAGGCCUCCCAUUAGGCUGCCAUGUUCUUUUUUGACCAAACGUGCACCCUACACGGUUUCUAUUGUCGUCCACAUGCCCUGCACAUAAGAAAACUACAGGGGUAGAAAUGGAAGUGAGAGCAACGCACACCAAGCAAAACCCCACAAGAAGAGAAAAUGAGCUGUUUGAGAAGCUGCAACCUAAGAAUCCAGGGCAGCUGGAAGAACCAGACUGCCGCUAUUCUUCUCCUCUGCCUUUAAUACCCCGAAUUUUCAAAAUAAUAACUUUGGUUUACAUUCACUAUCCGUUGGCGCAUUAGUUUCUUCUCUCUGUCUAGGUAACAAAACAGACAAAUGGGAAUCAGUUAAAUAAAUGGCUGGGAACAGUUGUAAGGAGGAGAGACGCUUGCUGAGCUGUUCCUGUGCUCUUUGGAUGUGUGCUCCUUGGGUGGCGUGGAUGACUGAGCUGUAGGUUUGUUGUCUGACAUUCCUUUUCAUUGGGACGGAACUGAGAAAGAACAGAGAAAAAGCUGAAAAUGGUAAAUAAGAAAAGGGUUAACCGGUGCAGAACCACUUAAAAUUUGAGAGAGAAGCUACUGAAGUUGCACGUUCUACACACUUGAAACUUAUUGAUGGUAAAAUUGUGGGAACGUUGCUGACAAACAGCAGAGUGUAUGGUUCUAGCUGUUGACCUAUAGUUAAUCGCGGAGAAAAAAAAACAUCAGGUUAGCAAGUCUGUUGAAAUAGCCAGAGACCUUAGUGACUACAGAGAUGAAAUAUCUGAUGAUUGGAGGUUUGGAGUAUAGUUUUAUUUAUUUUUAUCCUUUGAAAGA